GUGCUCACUUCAGCAGCACACAUACUAAAAUUGGAAUGAUUCAGAGAUUAGCAUGACCCCUGUGCAAGGAUGACAUGAAAAUUCAUGAAAUAUUCCAUAUAUAU
ensembl:snRNA U6 U6 spliceosomal RNA